rnacentral:tRNA from 1 species
CUUUUUUAAACUAUUUAAGUGUUAAAUUGUAAAUUUAAAAAAAAAGU